rnacentral:misc_RNA from 1 species
CAGGACUCGCUAUAACUCCCUUAAACCACUGUGAACAUUACCUGACAACCGUUGCCUCGGCGGGUGACUCCGGCGCGUCUUCGGCCUAACAACGGGGCCGCCCCCGCCAGGCGGCCCCUAACUCUGUCUCUUAUAACUGUUUUGGCAGCUAACCGAGCAGACCAUAACGAUUCA